UCUUAAAUAUUUCAAUUUGUAGAGCGUCAGACUAUAAAUCGAAAGGUCCUUGGUUCGAUUCUGGGUUCCGGCA
rnacentral:tRNA from 1 species